CGGGUUCGAUAUGUUCGGACCGUUGGAUUGACUCCAUUUCCAAAUAUGUUGAUUUAGAAACCUCUAGGAUUGUGUAGCAACUCACAGAUCGAGAAUCAGAGUCCCAGAUGCUCCGAUUCAAUGAUUUAAAGAUGACGUAAAAUAGUGAUCGUCCGAUCGUGCCAUCGUGAGCGCUCCAACCACUUGAUCUGGACCAAACUUGCAAAACCUGUGUAGUGAACUUUG
rnacentral:lncRNA from 1 species